GAUGAACGCUGGCGGCGUGCUUAACACAUGCAAGUCGAACGGAAAGGCUCCUGCUUGCAGGGGUACUCGAGUGGCGAACGGGUGAGUAACACGUGGGUGAUCUGCCCUGCACUUCGGGAUAAGCCUGGGAAACUGGGUCUAAUACCGGAUAGGACGAUGGUUUGGAUGCCAUUGUGGAAAGUUUUUCGGUGUGGGAUGAGCUCGCGGCCUAUCUGCUUGUUGGUGGGGUAAUGGCCUACCAAGGCGUCGACGGGUAGCCGGCCUGAGAGGGUGUACGGCCACAUUGGGACUGAGAUACGGCCCAGACUCCUACGGGAGGCAGCAGUGGGGAAUAUUGCACAAUGGGCGCAAGCCUGAUGCAGCGACGCCGCGUGGGGGAUGACGGCCUUCGGGUUGUAAACUCCUUUCGCUAGGGACGAAGCGCAAGUGACGGUACCUGGAGAAGAAGCACCGGCUAACUACGUG
rnacentral:rRNA from 1 species